GUGCUCGCUUCGGCAGCACAUAUACUAAAAUUGGAACGAUACAGAGAAGAUUAGCAUGGCCCCUGCGCAAGGAGGAAUCUGCUGGGCUAGGGACAUGUGCCCAGUCAGU